rnacentral:lncRNA from 1 species
AUCCACUGGUUAAUAAAGGUCAAAGCACAACAUGAUGAGGAACAUUUCAGGUUCAAAGUACAAUGCUCUGUGUGUGUGUGUGUGUGUGUGUGUGUGUGUGUGAUUUUCAUUUCUAUGUAUUUCACAUAUUUCUAUUUCCUUUUCUCUAAUGUAUCCUUUGAGUUUCAGAAUGAGUAAACAUUUAAAGUCUGAAUAUAGGUUAUUGAUAAGAAAAAUGAGAAGGAAGAAUGGUUUGUUGCCAUCUGAAUUUUGUUAAGUACAAUUGGAAAUAACUUUUUGUAUUUAUUUCAGUGUUAUUCUCGUGGAAUCCACAACACUUAUGUAUUUGCCAGCACAAGUAACUGAUUCUUCAAAGGUCUCUGUGAUGCCUGAUCAUAUGAGGAGUAGCGACUAUGCUGCUGAUCAGAGUUCUUCCCAUGCUGAAAAUGGCUUAAGAACAUCAAUUAAGUCUAACUUCAUCAGAGAAUUCUUCUGUUCAUCAACAACACUUUCCCUGAGACCAAAAACAUCUUCAAGUAUAGAUGUCUACUAUCUUCCCUUUGACAUGCAUGUUCGCUAUUGUGCCAUCAUCCUGAGCAACAAAGAUAUUGGAGAUUUGAUAUACAUUAUAGAAGGAAGAGGUUUGAUACCCUUGCCUUCCAAUUUCCUUCCAUUGGAGCCUCCAAGUCCAAUUGACUACAGCACUUCUCU